rnacentral:misc_RNA from 1 species
GAUGAAGAACGUAGCGAAACGCGAUAUGUAAUGUGAAUUGCAGAAUUCAGUGAAUCAUCGAAUCUUUGAACGCACAUGGCGCCUUCCAGUAUCCUGGGAGGCAUGCCUGUCCGAGCGUCGUUUCAACCCUCGAGCCCCCGUGGCCCGGCGUUGGGGAUCUGCCCAGGCAGUCCCCGAAAACCAGUGGCGGACCCGUUACAGGCCCUUCCCUUGCGUAGUAGCAUUCGCCUCGCAUCGGGAGCCGGCGGGCUUCCAGCCUCUAAACCCCCAUCAAGUCCGCCCCGACGGCACCAAGGUUGACCUCGGAUCAGGUAGGAAUACCCGCUGAACUUAAGCAUAUCAAUAAGCGGAGGA